GCCGAGGUGGUGAAACUGGCAAACACGUAGGACUUAGAAUCCUAUGCCGUAAGGCUUGUGGGUUCGACUCCCACCCUUGGCACAA
rnacentral:tRNA from 2 species